GACACAAUGUCCGAGUGGUUAAGGAGACAGACUUGAAUUACUCAAUAUUCAGGGCCAUCUGUUGGGUUCGCCCGCGCAAGUUCGAAUCUUGUUUGUGUCG